rnacentral:rRNA from 1 species
UACGUAGGGAGCGAGCGUUGUCCGAAGUUACUGGGCGUAAAGCGCACGUAGGCGGAUUGUUAAGUCGGGGGUGAAAUCCUGGAGCUCAACUCCAGAACUGCCUUCGAUACUGGCGAUCUCGAGUUCGGGAGAGGUGAGUGGAACUGCGAGUGUAGAGGUGAAAUGCUUAGAUAUGUCACAGAACACCGAUAGCGAAGGCAGCUCACUAGACUAACAUUGACGCUCAUGCACGAAAGCGUGGGGAGCGAACAGG